rnacentral:rRNA from 1 species
GAUGAACGCUGGCGGCAUGCCUAAUACAUGCAAGUCGAACGAGAGGAAGGAAAGCUUGCUUUUCUGAAUCUAGUGGCGAACGGGUGAGUAACACGUAGGUAACCUGCCCAUGUGCCCGGGAUAACUUCUGGAAACGGAUGCUAAAACCGGAUAGGUAGCAGACAAGCAUUUGACUGCUAUUAAAGUGGCUAAGGCCAUGAACAUGGAUGGACCUGCGGUGCAUUAGCUAGUUGGUGAGGUAACGGCCCACCAAGGCGACGAUGCAUAGCCGGCCUGAGAGGGCGGACGGCCACAUUGGGACUGAGACACGGCCCAAACUCCUACGGGAGGCAGCAGUAGGGAAUUUUCGUCAAUGGGGGGAACCCUGAACGAGCAAUGCCGCGUGAGUGAAGAAGGUCUUCGGAUCGUAAAGCUCUGUUGUAAGAGAAAAACGACAUUCAUAGGGAAUGAUGAGUGAGUGAUGGUAUCUUACCAGAAAGUCA